rnacentral:rRNA from 1 species
UACGGAGGGUGCAAGCGUUAAUCGGAAUUACUGGGCGUAAAGCGCGCGUAGGCGGUUUGAUAAGUCGAUUGUGAAAUCCCCGGGCUCAACCUGGGAAUUGCAGUCGAGACUGUCAGACUAGAGUGUGGGAGAGGGUGGUGGAAUUCCCGGUGUAGUGGUGGAAUGCGUAGAUAUCGGGAGGAACACCAGUGGCGAAGGCGGUUGCCUGGAGCUUUGCUGACGCUGAGGCGCGAAAGCGUGGGGAGCAAACAGG